UAUAUUUCACCAAUUUUAAGAAGUCCCUGACAUCAAAACAUGGCUUGUUUUGUUCCUGGACUCUUCAGUGAUGAUGAGCAGAGUCUGAGGGAACCUGCUUUCAGACAAUCACUAUUGCACACCAAAUGCUCUUGCUCAGCAGAUGGGGACAGCUACCAUCACCCAAUUUUCACCCAAAAGUGGCUGCGCUAUUCGCCAGACCGGGCAGGAGGGACUGGACGACAACUUAUGCAGGCAUCAGAUGACAGUGAAGUGUAAAUAAAGAGUAAAGAGGCUAAUAAACAUGAAUUUGAUUUUAAAUAGUGUGGUGUGUUCUGUGUUUUAUACAAGAUUUUAAAUGUUCCAUUAAUUUUUAACAUCCUGGCUGUAGAUAAAGCA